rnacentral:rRNA from 1 species
GCUAUACAUGCAGUCGAGCGGACAGAUGGGAGCUUGCUCCCUGAUGUUAGCGGCGGACGGGUGAGUAACACGUGGGUAACCUGCCUGUAAGACUGGGAUAACUCCGGGAAACCGGGGCUAAUACCGGAUGGUUGUUUGAACCGCAUGGUUCAAACAUAAAAGGUGGCUUCGGCUACCACUUACAGAUGGACCCGCGGCGCAUUAGCUAGUUGGUGAGGUAACGGCUCACCCAGGCAACGAUGCGUAGCCGACCUGAGAGGGUGAUCGGCCACACUGGGACUGAGACACGGCCCAGACUCCUACGGGAGGCAGCAGUAGGGAAUCUUCCGCAAUGGACGAAAGUCUGACGGAGCAACGCCGCGUGAGUGAUGAAGGUUUUCGGAUCGUAAAGCUC